UGCAAGUCGACUGGAAUUCACCUUCGGGUGAUAGUACGGUGGCGGACGGGUGAGUAACGCGUAAAGAACUUGCCCUCUAGACUGGGACAACUGUUGGAAACGACAGCUAAUACCGGAUAUUAUGAGAUUCUCGCAUGGGAAACUUAUGAAAGGCUAUAUGCGCUAGAGGAGAGCUUUGCGUGCCAUUAGGUAGUUGGUAGGGUAAUGGCCUACCAAGCCAACGAUGGCUAGCCGGCCUGAGAGGGUGAUCGGCCACAAGGGGACUGAGACACGGCCCUUACUCCUACGGGAGGCAGCAGUGGGGAAUAUUGGACAAUGGACCAAAAGUCUGAUCCAGCAAUUCUGUGUGCACGAUGAAGGUUUUCGGAUCGUAAAGUGCUUUCAGGUGGGAAGAAAAAAAUGACGGUACCACCAGAAGAAGCGACGGCUAAAUACGUGCCAGCAGCCGCGGUAAUACGUAUGUCGCAAGCGUUAUCCGGAAUUAUUGGGCGUAAAGCGCGUCUAGGCGGCCUUUUAAGUCUGAUGUGAAAAUGCGGGGCUCAACUCCGUAUUGCGUUGGAAACUGGAAGGCUAGAGUAUCAGAGAGGUGGGCGGAACUACAAGUGUAGAGGUGAAAUUCGUAGAUAUUUGUAGGAAUGCCGAUUGGGAAGCCAGCUCACUGGAUGAAUACUGACGCUGAAGCGCGAAAGCGUGGGGAGCAAACGGGAUUAGAUACCCCGGUAGUCCACGCCGUAAACGAUGAUCACUAAGUGUGGGGGGUCGAACCUCCGUGCUCAAGCUAACGCGAUAAGUGAUCCGCCUGGGGAGUACGCACGCAAGUGUGAAACUCAAAGGAAUUGACGGGGACCCGCACAAGCGGUGGAGCAUGUGGUUUAAUUCGACGCAACGCGAGGAACCUUACCAGCCCUUGACAUCCUCAGAACUUAGCAGAGAUGCUUUGGUGCCACUUC
rnacentral:rRNA from 1 species